CAGCCCCCAUAGCUUACCCCAAAGCAUGGCACUGAAGAUGCCAAGACGGUACCUACAAUACCUGCGGGCA
rnacentral:tRNA from 1 species